AGGGAUGGGAGGGGGGACUUCUCGGUUCUGGAGUGUAUAGUUCUUGCGUGCGUGAGCGCGUUUGCGCCGACGCACGCGCCCCAUCCAUCACUCGCUGUGACACUAGCGCGACAAAGGGACUUCAAUCAAACGAGCCCAUCAAUCUGAUAUAAACGCGGAUCUGUCAGGGCAGAGAGGGAGAGAGAACAGAAGGGGAGCUGUGUGAGCCGGCCGGCCUGCUGCUUCCAGACCUCCUUUCUGCAGAAACAUGUUUCAUAAUAGUAACUGUAAAUUCAUGCUACUGCAGGUCACCAAACAUUUCCACUUCUCCAGCGGCCCUACAAUUAGGGCUGCAGGGAUUAAACCCUCGUGAUGCUUUUAACAGCUCUAAAACACAUGACAUUCAUUGGAAUUACACAGGUAUUGAGGAUGACUCCCUGUGAAUUACCAUGGAUAUUUACUGCACAAAUGCUUGAGGAUGUAAUGUUAGUAUUGUUUCAUUAAUGGUACUGAUGAUUUGUACAUGUCACCUUCACGUUCUCUUCCCAAUGAGAGGUUCUUUCCUCACUUGGAGCUGAGCUGAGGCUGACUCGAUUCUUCAUGGCAGGAUUUCCCCUGACCUCUCUAUGAAAACACACCAUGCUUGUGAAAGGAGAGCCGAAGCAGCCUGUUGGCUGCCGAUUGAUUGACCCUGUGUCAUCCACUCGCAGACUGUAAGUUUGUCUCUCCUUCUUCCCUCACCUCGCAGCCCGGUUCACCAACACCAAUAGUCACCCAGAGAUUAUUGAUCAGACUGUAUCUCUUCUUCACACAUUUGACUCGCAUGAUGGGACCCAAUCUUCCAAUGGAUCAAAGGUUUCCCAUCGACCAGUGAAGUCCUGAUCACAGGGACUAUUGGGAAUCGGUUUACUCUUUUUCGCCAAUUGCAUUGAGGAGGCCAUGGAAUCCUGAUGGCAGAAUGUGGAUGAGAGAGUGCACUUGUCUGUGUUUGCAAAUUAAAUGAAUGAGCUGAUCUGUUAUAGAAACAACGUUAAAGAAGACAGGAGGCCUUCUGGUCGGACAAACCCUGCUGGUCCAGCAGGACAGGAAGCCGCGGUAGCCAUGACAACCGCACAAUGUUCUUUCUAGCCCCUGCGAUGGAGCUUGACAGCAAACACGCCGCCACCCUGCUGCAGUACGAGUUCAGGACGAGCGGCGUGGGCGUGCGACAAGGAGGAAGGUUAAUGAUCGGCGAGAGGCUGAAAGGAGAGAGUGGGCAGGAAGUGAGCAGGAACAGGCCGGGACAUGGAGAAGAAGAUUAAAUGACGCCCACGCGGCUGUUUGGGAGCUAAAAGGGCUACAGGAGAGAGAGGUCAAAAGCAGCAAGAUAAACCCCUGUGGAGUCCGGACCAGGCUGCUAGAAUGAUGAGUUGAUGAAGCUGUUGAAGAUUGGGCGGAGGUGGAGCGAUGAAUAACAGCAGCAUGAACGUACUGAAGCAGGAGAGAGAAUCCUAUUUAAAGAGACGGCAGCUACAUGAUAUACAAAUAAGGUCAAUGUGUCGUUGUGCUUACUGGAUAGAAAAUACCAGCUGAUGUUAACAGCUGAUGUCCUGAAUGACAGCUCUGUAAUCACUCCAAGGAAAUAAUGAGUGUAUAAAAACAGGCUUAGGCAGGGAGGACUAUGGUCUUUCUGUCUGAACUUGCAAUAGAGCUUCAUUUGUAGUUAGUAUGCGUGUGUUGCAAGUGUGUGGUUGAGAGAGAAAGUGCUAAAUAUUAGUGUUAUUUAAAUCAAUACCAUUAUAUGUAUCCUAUAUGGCACAAAGUAAUUAUUUUUUUCUCACAGUAUUAUAACUAUUUUUCCGCAACGGGACUUGCCUUUUCUUUUGUUUAUGCUCCGGGUGUGCUACUGUUGAUCACUACAAAGAGAUGACAGAUGUUAGCGACUGGCUUGGUGUGUCAGUUUUCUGCUUUCAACUUUACUUCAAUCAGGAGACACAGUAAGGUCAAGCAGAAAUUAGUGGUAGAAUUAUAGUUUGUGUGUCAUUAGAUAUUAAAUAUUAUAUCAUUAUAGUAUAACAAUUAUGUAUCAUGUAUUAUGAACUAAACAUAUUGUAAAUCCUGAUUAAUGUACAUGAAUUAUUAGUUUUGAUACGUGAAUUAUUUGUUUCUUCUGCGAAGUAACAUCUUGAAACUAAGUUACGAUUAUUGAAAAUAACUGAUGUGUGACAGGGUCUGUCGCCUAGCAGCACUUGUCUCAUCCUCUCUAAGUUACAUACUUAUUAAUGCAUCUCUAUUCACCUAUUUGUUUGGGUGCUGUAAUUGCUAAGCAUGAACAAAAAAAGAAAGAGCUGACAGUUCUAAAAUCUGCAUACAGGUACAAUUGAAAUGUGAGCCACUAGAACUUUCCAGUAUUGGAAUGUGAGCCACUAGAACUUUCCAGUAUAUCAUACACACCAGCGGGGCCCACACUUUUCCGGCUCGCAACCUACUUUUCAACUAACCAGGUCAUGGCGAUCCCCCCCCAUCCUCCAUGCCAGCUGACAGGGGUGAGGGGGUGGGGCGACCGGUAAAUAGUAGCGGUGACGCGCUCCAACAGCGCAUAACGAGUCAAUAUGAAGAAAACGACAAGCCUCUCAUCUGUCAGAAGGAGGAAACAGUCACAAGCAUCCCGCACAUUCUUGGUCAUUACCUUACACGCGAUCAACUGGUACUGCCCUUGAGAUCGACUGGUCGAUCGCGAUCGACGCAUUGAGCACCCCUGAUACACACCAUGCAUAAAAUUAUAUUUAAAUGCAUUUGAGGUGUCGCAUGUAUAACAUUUUCUCUUCCAUCAGCGGAGGUGCUCCGUGACCUCAUGAAGUUCAGGGUUGGAGCUGCUGGAGAAAAACCUCAUGGUUGAGGUCGUAACCUCAACUUACCCGAUUCACCUGCUUCUUCAAAUUAAAGCUCCCAGCCACUUCCAGACCAGAAGACGUUCCACCAGGACAUGAUAAUGGAAUUCCUAUUGACAUAUGCCCUGGUAUAGUUUCUUAAGUUCUUUGAUGAUUAUUUCCUUUAAGUGUUCAACACCAAUACAGUUUUUUUUAAAGGAAAUAAACAUUUUAACAUAGUAAGCCUUAAGUAAACAAAUACGGACAAUAGAUUCACUAUUGUCAAUACAUUCACAAUGUCAUGUCAUGAGCACUUAAUAAAACUAAAUCCUGACAGCAUGCAAACAAUGUCAAGAGGUUGCCUCUCCAAGAUGUAUUCCAGUCGAUCAUGCAAUCUGUGAAGGAUGUCAGCCUCAGUGAUUCCUAGAGGAUAGAUGCAUAAAUAUAUAAUCAUGACAAAAAUGUGUGUUUAAAGUGUCAGCCAGCAGCGGUUUUGUGCUAUGAAAUCGGAAAUGUGAAACUGCAGAAAGGAUAUAGUUAGAAGAGCAAUCGCAGCCUUGCGGGCUGCAGGAGGCUUGCGUAGCUUUUGACGCUAGUCUAGAAAAAUGGGUCGACGCACGCAAGGAGGUGUGAAAAGGCACGCAAGGGACGCGCAAGGGGCUCCUGCGUCUACGUGUCUCUGAAAACGCAGAAGCAUAAACUAGGCUUAAGACGAGUCUAACAAAACCACACACAAAU